AGGCGCGUAGCUCAAUGUGGUAGAGCACCGGUCUCCAAAACCGGCGGUUGGGGGUUCAAGUCCCUCCGCGCCUG
rnacentral:tRNA from 1 species